rnacentral:misc_RNA from 1 species
GAUGAAGAACGUAGCGAAAUGCGAUAAGUAAUGUGAAUUGCAGAAUUCAGUGAAUCAUCGAAUCUUUGAACGCACCUUGCGCCCUUUGGCCAUUCCGAAGGGCAUGCCUGUUUGAGUAUCAUGAACACCUCAACUCUUUAUGGUUUUCCAUGAUGAGCUUGGACUCUGGGGGUUUUGCUGGCUCACAGUCGGCUCCUCUAAAAUGAAUCAGCUUACCAGUGUUUGGUGGGUAUCAUGGGUGUGAUAACUAUCUACGCUUGUUGUUUUUCCACCAGGUAACCUUCAGCAGUGGAGGUUCGCUGGAGCUCAUAGAUGUCUCUCCUCAGUGAGGACAGCCCUUUGAAUGUUUGAUCUCAAAUCAGGUAGGACUACCCGCUGAACUUAAGCAUAUCAAUAAGCGGAGGA